rnacentral:rRNA from 1 species
ACUAAGCGUACACGGUGGAUGCCCUGGCAGUCAGAGGCGAUGAAGGACGUGCUAAUCUGCGAUAAGCGUCGGUAAGGUGAUAUGAACCGUUAUAACCGGCGAUUUCCGAAUGGGGAAACCCAGUGUGAUUCGUCACACUAUCAUUAACUGAAUCCAUAGGUUAAUGAGGCGAACCGGGGGAACUGAAACAUCUAAGUACCCCGAGGAAAAGAAAUCAACCGAGAUUCCCCCAGUAGCGGCGAGCGAACGGGGAGGAGCCCAGAGCCUGAAUCAGUGUGUGUGUUAGUGGAAGCGUCUGGAAAGGCGCGCGAUACAGGGUGACAGCCCCGUACACAAAAAUGCACAUACUGUGAGCUCGAUGAGUAGGGCGGGACACGUGGUAUCCUGUCUGAAUAUGGGGGGACCAUCCUCCAAGGCUAAAUACUCCUGACUGACCGAUAGUGAACCAGUACCGUGAGGGAAAGGCGAAAAGAACCCCGGCGAGGGGAGUGAAAAAGAACCUGAAACCGUGUACGUACAAGCAGUGGGAGCACGCUUCGGCGUGUGACUGCGUACCUUUUGUAUAAUGGGUCAGCGACUUAUAUUCUGUAGCAAGGUUAACCGAAUAGGGGAGCCGAAGGGAAACCGAGUCUUAACUGGGCGUUAAGUUGCAGGGUAUAGACCCGAAACCCGGUGAUCUAGCCAUGGGCAGGUUGAAGGUUGGGUAACACUAACUGGAGGACCGAACCGACUAAUGUUGAAAAAUUAGCGGAUGACUUGUGGCUGGGGGUGAAAGGCCAAUCAAACCGGGAGAUAGCUGGUUCUCCCCGAAAGCUAUUUAGGUAGCGCCUCGUGAAUUCAUCUCCGGGGGUAGAGCACUGUUUCGGCAAGGGGGUCAUCCCGACUUACCAACCCGAUGCAAACUGCGAAUACCGGAGAAUGUUAUCACGGGAGACACACGGCGGGUGCUAACGUCCGUCGUGAAGAGGGAAACAACCCAGACCGCCAGCUAAGGUCCCAAAGUCAUGGUUAAGUGGGAAACGAUGUGGGAAGGCCCAGACAGCCAGGAUGUUGGCUUAGAAGCAGCCAUCAUUUAAAGAAAGCGUAAUAGCUCACUGGUCGAGUCGGCCUGCGCGGAAGAUGUAACGGGGCUAAACCAUGCACCGAAGCUGCGGCAGCGACACUAUGUGUUGUUGGGUAGGGGAGCGUUCUGUAAGCCUGUGAAGGUGUACUGUGAGGUAUGCUGGAGGUAUCAGAAGUGCGAAUGCUGACAUAAGUAACGAUAAAGCGGGUGAAAAGCCCGCUCGCCGGAAGACCAAGGGUUCCUGUCCAACGUUAAUCGGGGCAGGGUGAGUCGACCCCUAAGGCGAGGCCGAAAGGCGUAGUCGAUGGGAAACAGGUUAAUAUUCCUGUACUUGGUGUUACUGCGAAGGGGGGACGGAGAAGGCUAUGUUGGCCGGGCGACGGUUGUCCCGGUUUAAGCGUGUAGGCUGGUUUUCCAGGCAAAUCCGGAAAAUCAAGGCUGAGGCGUGAUGACGAGGCACUACGGUGCUGAAGCAACAAAUGCCCUGCUUCCAGGAAAAGCCUCUAAGCAUCAGGUAACAUCAAAUCGUACCCCAAACCGACACAGGUGGUCAGGUAGAGAAUACCAAGGCGCUUGAGAGAACUCGGGUGAAGGAACUAGGCAAAAUGGUGCCGUAACUUCGGGAGAAGGCACGCUGAUAUGUAGGUGAAGCGACUUGCUCGUGGAGCUGAAAUCAGUCGAAGAUACCAGCUGGCUGCAACUGUUUAUUAAAAACACAGCACUGUGCAAACACGAAAGUGGACGUAUACGGUGUGACGCCUGCCCGGUGCCGGAAGGUUAAUUGAUGGGGUUAGCGGUAACGCGAAGCUCUUGAUCGAAGCCCCGGUAAACGGCGGCCGUAACUAUAACGGUCCUAAGGUAGCGAAAUUCCUUGUCGGGUAAGUUCCGACCUGCACGAAUGGCGUAAUGAUGGCCAGGCUGUCUCCACCCGAGACUCAGUGAAAUUGAACUCGCUGUGAAGAUGCAGUGUACCCGCGGCAAGACGGAAAGACCCCGUGAACCUUUACUAUAGCUUGACACUGAACAUUGAGCCUUGAUGUGUAGGAUAGGUGGGAGGCUUUGAAGUGUGGACGCCAGUCUGUAUGGAGCCGGCCUUGAAAUACCACCCUUUAAUGUUUGAUGUUCUAACGUUGGCCCCUAAUCGGGGUUGCGGACAGUGUCUGGUGGGUAGUUUGACUGGGGCGGUCUCCUCCUAAAGAGUAACGGAGGAGCACGAAGGUUGGCUAAUCCUGGUCGGACAUCAGGAGGUUAGUGCAAUGGCAUAAGCCAGCUUGACUGCGAGCGUGACGGCGCGAGCAGGUGCGAAAGCAGGUCAUAGUGAUCCGGUGGUUCUGAAUGGAAGGGCCAUCGCUCAACGGAUAAAAGGUACUCCGGGGAUAACAGGCUGAUACCGCCCAAGAGUUCAUAUCGACGGCGGUGUUUGGCACCUCGAUGUCGGCUCAUCACAUCCUGGGGCUGAAGUAGGUCCCAAGGGUAUGGCUGUUCGCCAUUUAAAGUGGUACGCGAGCUGGGUUUAGAACGUCGUGAGACAGUUCGGUCCCUAUCUGCCGUGGGCGCUGGAGAACUGAGGGGGGCUGCUCCUAGUACGAGAGGACCGGAGUGGACGCAUCACUGGUGUUCGGGUUGUCAUGCCAAUGGCACUGCCCGGUAGCUAAAUGCGGAAGAGAUAAGUGCUGAAAGCAUCUAAGCACGAAACUUGCCCCGAGAUGAGUUCUCCCUGACUCCCUGAGAGUCCUGAAGGAACGUUGAAGACGACGACGUUGAUAGGCCGGGUGUGUAAGCGCAGCGAUGCGUUGAGCUAACCGGUACUAAUGAACCGUGAGGCUUAACC